GCUUAUGGCCAUACCACCCUGAGUGCCCAAUCUCUUCUGAUCUUGGAAAAUAAGCAGGGUCAGACCUAGUUAGUACUUGGAUAGGAAAAAUACAAGAGUUUAAAUGCA
rnacentral:rRNA from 1 species